rnacentral:rRNA from 1 species
UACGGAGGGUGCAAACGUUGCUCGGAAUCAUUGGGCGUAAAGCGCACGUAGGCGGUCCAGCAAGUCGGGUGUGAAAGCCCUCGGCUUAACCGAGGAAGUGCAUUCGAAACUACUGGACUUGAGUACCGGAGAGGGUUGCGGAAUUCCCGGUGUAGAGGUGAAAUUCGUAGAUAUCGGGAGGAACACCAGUGGCGAAGGCGGCAACCUGGACGGAUACUGACGCUGAGGUGCGAAAGCGUGGGGAGCAAACAGG